GACGAACGCUGGCGGCGUGCUUAAUACAUGCAAGUCGAACGAUGAAGCUGGAGCUUGCUCCGGUGGAUUAGUGGCGAACGGGUGAGUAACACGUGAGUAACCUGCCCUUGACUCUGGGAUAACUGCGGGAAACUGUAGCUAAUACCGGAUACGACACCUUCGGGCAUCCGAUGGGUGUGGAAAGAAUUUCGGUCAAGGAUGGACUCGCGGCCUAUCAGCUUGUUGGUGAGGUAACGGCUCACCAAGGCGACGACGGGUAGCCGGCCUGAGAGGGUGACCGGCCACACUGGGACUGAGACACGGCCCAGACUCCUACGGGAGGCAGCAGUAGGGAAUAUUGCACAAUGGGCGCAAGCCUGAUGCAGCAACGCCGCGUGAGGGAUGAAGGCCUUCGGGUUGUAAACCUCUUUUAGUAGGGAAGAAGCGAAAGUGACGGUACCUACAGAAAAAGCACCGGCUAACUACGUGCCAGCCGCCGCAGUAA
rnacentral:rRNA from 1 species